rnacentral:rRNA from 1 species
AAAAGGCGUUUGAGUCGCGUGUCCUGGACCCGAAGCGGGAUGAUCUAGCCCUGAGCAGGUUGAAGCGCGGGUAAGACCGCGUGGAGGACCGAACCCACCUGGGUUGAAAACCGGGGGGAUGACUUGGGGCUAGGGGUGAAAGGCCAAUCAAAUUCCGUGAUAGCUGGUUCUCUCCGAAAUGCAUUUGGGUGCAGCGUCGGGUCAUUACGUCCCGGGGGUAGAGCUACUGGAUGCUUGCGGGCCCGUAUCGGGUACCAACAGCAACCAAACUCCGAAUACCGGUGACGCGUAUCCCGGCAGUGAGUCGGCGGGGGAUAAGCUUCGUCGUCGAAAGGGAAACAGCCCAGACCGUCGUCUAAGGUCCCGAAGCGUGUGCUAAGUGGGAAAGGAUGUGGAGUCGCAUAGACAGCCAGGAGGUUGGCUCAGAAGCAGCCACCCUUGAAAGAGUGCGUAACAGCUCACUGGUCUAGUGGUUCCGCGCCGACAAUGUAGCGGGGCUCAAGCACACCACCGAAGACGCGGCAGUAUUUUGUACUGGGUAGGAGAGCGUCCCAUGAGGGGCGAAGCGGCCGUGUGAACGCGCCGUGGACUUCAUGGGAGUGAGAAUGCAGACAUGAGUAGCGAGAGACGGGUGAAGAUCCCGUCCGCUGGAUGACCAAGGGUUCCAGGGCCACGUUCAUCGUCCCUGGGUGAGUCGGGUCCUAAGGCGAGGCCGACAGGCGUAGUCGAAUGGAUGAACGGGUCGAUAUUCCCGUACCGGCUUUCAGCCGCCAAAACCGAGGCUUGGAGUACUAACCUCCGGGUCCGGGCUUACUGCUCCUUCGGGGGCGGGAUGCCCUGGCCUGUUGGGACCGAUCCUUGUAGUAGGUCAGCGCAGGAGUGACGCAGAAGGGUAGCCGGCCGCGGAGGUGGUCUUCCGUGGUCAAGCACGCAGGGCGUGGGACAGGCAAAUCCGUCCCGCAUGGGUCCGAGGUGCGAUGAUGGGGGCCUUAUGGCCCGAUAUCCGGUGAUCCCGGCUGCCGAGAAAAGCUUCGGCGUCAGGCUCAAAGCCGCCCGUACCCCAAACCGACACUGGUGGUCAGGUAGAGAAUACCAAAGCGAUCGAGCGAAUCCUGGUCAAGGAACUCGGCAAAUCACUCCCGUUCCUUCGGUUUAAGGGAGACCCCCGAUGGUGAACACACUUGCUGUGGGAGCUUUUGGGGGUGGCACAGACCAGGGGGUAGCGACUGUUUACCAAAAACACAGGUGCAUGCGAAGGCGCAAGCCGCUGUAUAUGCACUGACGCCUGCCCGGUGCCGGAAGGUUAAGAGGAUCCGUCAGCCUUCGGGUGAAGCGGUGAAUUCAAGCCCCGGUAAACGGCGGUGGUAACUAUAACCAUCCUAAGGUAGCGAAAUUCCUUGUCGGGUAAGUUCCGACCUGCACGAAUGGCGUAACGACUUCCCCACUGUCUCGACCAGGAGCUCGGCGAAAUUGCAGUACGAGUAAAGAUGCUCGUUAAGCGCAGAAGGACGAAAAGACCCCGGGACCUUUACUAUACCUUGGUAUUGGCAUUCGGUGUGGAUUGUGUAGCAUAGGCGGGAGGCCGAGAGGCGCGGUCGCCAGAUCGCGCGGAGCCGUAAGGUGAAAUACCGCUCUGUUCGCAUUGGAUGUCUAACCUCGAACAGUCAUCCUGUUCAGGGACAGUGCCUGGCGGGUAGUUUAACUGGGGCGGUUGCCUCCCAAAGAGUAACGGAGGCGCCCAAAGGUCCGCUCAGCCCGGUUGGCAAUCGGGUGGCGAGUGCAAGUGCACAAGCGGGCUUGACUGCGAGGACGACGGUCCGAGCAGGGACGAAAGUCGGGACUAGUGAUCCGGUGCCGGUGUACGGACGCGGCAUCGCUCAACGGAUAAAAGGUACCCCGGGGAUAACAGGCUGAUCAUUCC